AACGAACGCUGGCGGCAUGCCUAACACAUGCAAGUCGAACGAGACCUUCGGGUCUAGUGGCGCACGGGUGCGUAACGCGUGGUAAUCUGCCCUUCGGUUGGGAAUAACUGAGAGAAAUUUCAGCUAAUACCUUAUAAUGUCUUCGGACCAAAGAUUUAUCGCCGAGGGAUGAGCCCGCGUAGGAUUAGGUAGUUGGUGGUGUAAUGGCCUACCAAGCCGACGAUCCUUAGCUGGUAUGAGAGGAUGAUCAGCCACAAUGGGACUGAGACACGGCCCAGACUCCUACGGGAGGCAGGAGUGGGGAAUAUUGGACAAUGGGCGAAAGCGUGAUACAGCAAUGCCGCGUGAGUGAUGCAGGCCUUAGGGUUGUAAAGCUCUUUUACCCGGGAUGAUAAUGACAGUACCGGGAGAAUAAGCACCGGCUAACUCCGUG
rnacentral:rRNA from 1 species